rnacentral:lncRNA from 1 species
GUGUGCAAGUGCCCGCCAGCGGGACCAUUUCUAGGCCUGGUGCUGAGGCCACCUGGCUGACACCCUGAGCAGCUUACUGAACCUCACAAGGUCAUUUCUUCCUCGGGUCACCACGUGGGCCGGGGCAGGUGCUCACAGCACAAAGAUGCGUGAGAAGGGGGGAUGGGCUGAAAUCCAAGCCCCGCUCCCGCUCCCGGGAAGAAGGGGCAGGCUUUGCCUAACACACACCAAGGUGUCCGCGACGCCUUAUGAAGGCGCCCCUUCCUGAUGCCUGGUGCCUUUGUUAGGAGGCGGAAAACCAGGCUGACUCAGUGCGGAGCUGGGUUCCAGGGUCAGCUCAUCUUAUUGCUGGCUGAGGC